rnacentral:rRNA from 1 species
UACGAAGGGUGCAAGCGUUAAUCGGAAUUACUGGGCGUAAAGGGUGCGUAGGCGGUUGUUUAAGUCUGUCGUGAAAUCCCCGGGCUCAACCUGGGAAUGGCGAUGGAUACUGGGCAGCUAGAGUGUGUCAGAGGAUGGUGGAAUUUCCGGUGUAGCGGUGAAAUGCGUAGAUAUCGGAAGGAACACCAGUGGCGAAAGCGGCUUCCUGGUCCAGCACCGACGUUCAGGCACGAAAGCGUGGGGAGCAAACAGG